AGUCUUAUAGUCAAAAUAUGAUAUUAAAUUGCAAAUUUAAAGUAGAAUUUUAUUCUAAGGCUU
rnacentral:tRNA from 1 species